GCAGGGGUUCCAGAGUGGUCAAAUGGGCAGGACUCAAGAUCCUGUGGCGUAGGCCUUCGAGAGUUCGAGCCUCUCUCCCUGCA
rnacentral:tRNA from 1 species